AUGAGGGAAACGCGCCCUGGCCGUGGCAGGAAGGCUUUUGUCCGCAGGACGUCGGCUGGAAGCCUGCAAAGCGCAAGGCUGCCCAACGCCUUUCCUGCGAGCAUGAAGGGAGGCCCCGUGUUCCCUGCAGAACUCCACAGCACACCCUGUCGUUUCAGCCACCCCCGCCUCCCUACUUGUCCCUCAAGGUUCCCUCUAGUCCUUGGGAGGCCUGAAGUCUGUCAUCUUUCCAUCUGCAGGCUGCUGUCCCCCACGCUGAUCCCGCCCUACCAGGUUGAACGAGACAUCUACGUUGGCGGUCUCAAGGACUCCCGCAGGUCGGCAGCCCCUCGGCAGACGUGCCGGACCCCAACAGAGGAGGACUUCUUGAACCCAGAAGUUCAAGGCUGCAGUGAGCUAUGAAUCACACCACUGCACUUCAGCCGGGGCAACAGAGCAUGACCCUGUCUCUUAAGAAGAAGGCAUUUAAUACAAAUUGCCCAUUACAGUUACACAACACAUACAUUUUGUAUGGUUAUUUCCCCCCAAAGAAUGCUGAUUAUCCGAGGCUGGAAGUCCGAGAUCAGGGUAUCAGCAGGGUUGGGUUUUGUGAGGUUACCCUUACUGGUUUGCACCCAGACACCUUCUCACUGUGUCCUCAAGAGGCCAUGUAGGUGCUAGAAAGUGAUAUCCUAAAAUGAAGACCUCCUGCCUUCCUGAGUCCCGUUCUCCCCCAGGCUGGCCAUAGAAACUAGAAUCUCUGUUCACCAAGGCAGGUCAUAAAAACCACAACCCCCUUUCCCCAAAGCCAGCCACAAAUCCUAAAAAUACUACUCUAACUCCUGCCUUUCUGUGCAAAUGCUGACCAUAAAUUCUCUGGCCUAUCUGUCUGGUUGUAGGUCAUAAGACUCUCAUUCCAAAGAGGGUCCUGUCUUAUACCCAAGAGGAAGGACUGCAGCGCAGAGAGGCCAAGCAGAAUCUAGACACGCGGGCCUGCUGGGCGUCGCCACCCAGUGGAUCAGCAGAUCUCGCCGGAUCCUGUUUCUCCACAGCAGUCCAUAUUUGCUGAACCUAAGCAUUAAACUGACAGCUUCCUCUGUGUUCAUUCUGAAGACUCUUGUGUCACAUAAAGCUAUGAUGAAAUAAAUUUGUAUGCUUUCUCUCUUUUAAUCUGCCU
rnacentral:lncRNA from 13 species